rnacentral:rRNA from 1 species
ACGGUCCUAAGGUAGCGAAAUUCCUUGUCGGGUAAGUUCCGACCCGCACGAAAGGUGUAACGAUUUGGGCACUGUCUCAACGAGGGACCCGGUGAAAUUGAAGUACCUGUGAAGAUGCAGGUUACCCGCGACUGGACAGAAAGACCCCAUGGAGCUUUACUGUAACCUGAGAUUGAAUUCUGGUAGGAGAUGUACAGGAUAGUUGGGAGGCGGAGAAGCGAGUACGCCAGUAUUCGCGGAGCCGAUGGUGGGAUACCAACCUUGUUUUAUUGGAAUUCUAACGAGAAGCGUAACGAGCUUGCGGACAGUCUCAGGCGGGCAGUUUGACUGGGGCGGUCGCCUCCGAAAGAGCAACGGAGGCGCCCAAAGGUUCCCUCAGUGCGGACGGAAACCGCACGAAGAGUGCAAAGGCAGAAGGGAGCUUGACUGCGAGACGGACAGGUCGAGCAGGGACGAAAGUCGGGCUUAGUGAUCCGGUGGCAUAGAGUGGAAUAGCCAUCGCUCAACGGAUAAAAGCUACCCUGGGGAUAACAGGCUUAUCUCUCCCAAGAGUCCAUAUCGACGGGGAGGUUUGGCACCUCGAUGUCGGCUCAUCACAUCCUGGGGCUGAAGUAGGUCCCAAGGGUUGGGCUGUUCGCCCAUUAAAGUGGUACGCGAGCUGGGUUCAGAACGUCGUGAGACAGUUCGGUCCCUAUCCAUCGCGGGCGGAAGAAACUUGAAAGGGGCUGCUCCUAGUACGAGAGGACCGGAGUGGACCGACCAAUGGUGUACCAGUCAUGACGCCAGUUGUGCAGCUGGGUAGCUACGUCGGGGACGGAUAAACGCUGAAAGCAUCUAAGCGUGAAACCAGCCUAGAGAUGAGGUUUCUCAUUACGCAAGUAAGUAAGGUCCCACAGAGACGAUGUGGUAGAUAGGCCGGGAGUGGAAGUACAGUGAUGUACGGAGCGGACCGGUACUAAUAGACCGAGGACUUGACUUA